rnacentral:rRNA from 1 species
AGCUUGCUCCCGGAUGUUAGCGGCGGACGGGUGAGUAACACGUGGGUAACCUGCCUGUAAGACUGGGAUAACUCCGGGAAACCGGAGCUAAUACCGGAUAGUUCCUUGAACCGCAUGGUUCAAGGAUGAAAGACGGUUUCGGCUGUCACUUACAGAUGGACCCGCGGCGCAUUAGCUAGUUGGUGAGGUAACGGCUCACCAAGGCGACGAUGCGUAGCCGACCUGAGAGGGUGAUCGGCCACACUGGGACUGAGACACGGCCCAGACUCCUACGGGAGGCAGCAGUAGGGAAUCUUCCGCAAUGGACGAAAGUCUGACGGAGCAACGCCGCGUGAGUGAUGAAGGUUUUCGGAUCGUAAAGCUCUGUUGUUAGGGAAGAACAAGUGCAAGAGUAACUGCUUGCACCAUGACGGUACCUAACCAGAAAGCCACGGCUAACUACGUGCCAGCAGCCGCGGUAAUACGUAGGUGGCAAGCGUUGUCCGGAAUUAUUGGGCGUAAAGGGCUCGCAGGCGGUUUCUUAAGUCUGAUGUGAAAGCCCCCGGCUCAACCGGGGAGGGUCAUUGGAAACUGGGAAACUUGAGUGCAGAAGAGGAGAGUGGAAUUCCACGUGUAGCGGUGAAAUGCGUAGAGAUGUGGAGGAACACCAGUGGCGAAGGCGACUCUCUGGUCUGUAACUGACGCUAAGGAGCGAAAGCGUGGGGAGCGAACAGGAUUAGAUACCCUGGUAGUCCACGCCGUAAACGAUGAGUGCUAAGUGUUAGGGGGUUUCCGCCCCUUAGUGCUGCAGCUAACGCAUUAAGCACUCCGCCUGGGGAGUACGGUCCCAAGACUGAAACUCAAAGGAAUUGACGGGGGCCCGCACAACCGGUGGAGCAUGUGGUUUAAUUCAAAGCACCGCGAAGAACCUUACCAGGUCUUGACAUCCUCUGACAACCCUAGAGAUAGGGCUUUCCCUUCCGGGACAGAGUGACAGGUGAUGCAUGGUUGUCGUCACCUCCUGUCCUGGAAAUGUUGGGUUAAGUCCCAACACCAAGC